AGGAUGGGGACAACAGACGGAAACGACUGCUAAUACCGAAUAAGUUCCAAGAGCCGCAUGGCCCAUGGAAGAAAAGGUGGCCUCUACCUGUAAGCUAUCGCCUGAAGAGGGGUUUGCGUCUGAUUAGCUGGUUGGAGGGGGUAACGGGCCCACCCAAGGCGACGAUCAGUAGCCGGUCUGAGAGGAUGAACGGCCACACUGGAACUGAGACACGGUCCAGACUCCUACGGGAGGCAGCAUG
rnacentral:rRNA from 1 species